rnacentral:tRNA from 1 species
GCAGAUAUGGCGUAAAGGUAUCGCAACGGCUUGCUAAGCCGUCCAACAGGAAUGUUGUAUAGGUUCGAGUCCUAUUGUCUGCG